rnacentral:rRNA from 1 species
UACGAAGGGGGCUAGCGUUGCUCGGAAUUAUUGGGCGUAAAGAGCUCGUAGGCGGUCUGUUGCGUCGGCUGUGAAAACCCGGGGCUCAACUCCGGGCCUGCAGCCGAUACGGGCAGACUAGAGUUCGGCAGGGGAGACUGGAAUUCCUGGUGUAGCGGUGAAAUGCGCAGAUAUCAGGAGGAACACCGGUGGCGAAGGCGGGUCUCUGGGCCGAUACUGACGCUGAGGAGCGAAAGCGUGGGGAGCGAACAGG